rnacentral:misc_RNA from 1 species
ACCACACAAGAACAUCAAACACCUUAGCAACAACACUGUUACUUCCACUCCAUCGAAACCCUUUGCAUAAAAGAGAGCAAUCACUAGAAGCAACAACAGAUCAAGAGUAGAAACAGAGAAAAAUGAAGCAAUUGUUACUGCCCUUCUUUAUCAGCUUCUUCUCGAUCUUGCUCUGCUUUCCUGGGUCCGCCAAUGCAUCACUUCUCCCAUUUGUUGAUCGUCCUGGAAGUCUGCUGACUGAUCUCUGGUCAGACCGUCUCCCAGAUCCAUUUAGAGUCUUGGAACACAUACCAUUUGGGAUUGAAAGGGAUAACAGUGUGGAACUCUCUCUAGCCAGGGUAGACUGGAAAGAAACACCUGAUGGUCAUGUUAUAACGCUAGAUGUGCCUGGUUUGAAAAAGGAGGAACUGAAGAUUGAGGUGGAGGAGAAUAGGGUGUUGAGAGUGAGCGGAGAGAGGAAAAGAGAGGAAGAGAAGAAAGGGGAUCACUGGCACAGGGUGGAGAGAUCUUACGGCAAGUUUUGGAGACAAUUCAGGUUGCCUGACAAUGUGGAUUUGGACUCUGUAAAAGCUAAGCUUGAAAAUGGUGUGCUUACCUUAAGUUUCUCCAAGUUGUCUGCAGAUAAGAUCAAAGGUCCUAAAGUUGUUAGCAUUGCAGGUGAAGAGAAACCUGAACCAGCCAAGCUCGAAAAAAGUGAGGCCACCAAACAGGAGCUGUAGAUUUUUUCAGGGCUGAAUUUUGAGAGCUGCUAAUAGAUAAAGGACUUGAUAUUUUCUGCUGUUUGAGAGAGAAUAAGGACUUGUAAUUUCUGUUCUGUUUGUGUUGCAGUGUCUUGUUUAUAACGUAAUGUAAUCUAAAAUAAGCUUCUUGUCAAGUGAUCAUUUCUCGAAUGCCAUGAUAAUAUAGUAAACUUCCGUAGCUUCUAUCUUUUAAUCCAUGCGAUGCUUACCUUGCAAAGCUGGCUAAUGGGAGUGAAAAUAGAGGCAAGCAAAGCCGCCUAUGACAUGCUUCACCUCCUCAACUUCACUUCCGGCUGCACACUUUAGGCCGGUGAGCCCAAAUCUCCGUUGCCACUGGACUGAAAAAUUCAUGACUGGCUUUUGUUUUGAUGAGUUCGGAUUAAAUUGGGCCUGCUUCGUUCAUGGCUGAAGAAGCCGUUAGUGAACAACGGCCUAAGGCCAAUGGUCAAAUGUUAUGAAGCGAAUCAAAAAAAUUUAGGUAAUUAUAUCGAUAUUGAUGUCUUGAUCUAUAAGUUGGUCAAGUUAUUAAAAAGAAGCUCACUGGUUGGAUUAUAUCGUUAUCAUUUUUUGGGGUUAUGAAUUAAAAAAAAUAAGUUGAUAGACUAAUUUUUUAUUUUCAUGUUUAUAGGAUAUAUGUUUAUGAGUUACUUUAUCAAAUAUUUUGUCAUGUUAUUUUUAUUUUA